AUGGCUCCCGCCUCUCAAGCUUGCUCCAGCGCCCAUGCCCAUCACGCAGCGCCCACACGCACCAGCAUGCCACGGCGGCUUGGUUCCCAUCCGACCGUGAAGCAGAGCUGCGCGGUGAUGGCGACGCCCAGCGCAGGACGCCGCGACAACAGGCAGGAGGCCAUGAAGGGGCUCACCGCUCGGAAUGGACGCGACGGUCCCUCAAAAAAAAAAAAAAGGAAUGGACGCGACGGUGCGGUCACCGGCGCCCUGCGUCCUCCACCGGUGUCUCAUGCCCCUGCCCACUUCCUUCCGCCGUCCACACUGCCUCCGUCUCAGCCAGUGGAUGUUCAUAUGCCGGAUAACAAGUGCGGCGGCGACCAUGGUCUGUCCCGCUCCGCCAGUCCUUUCUUCCGGUGGCUUACUUACUACUCACGCAGGUGGAGUUCAACAUGGAGGAGCUUGCCAUGUCCCAAGCAUCAUUUUGGGCGUAGCUGCCCACCUCUGUGUGACGACUGCUCCAAUGCAGACCAGGUGUUCGGCGUAAUGUCAGAACGGCCACAGGUUUGCAUGUUUGCAGUGAUGAGGAUACAUCAGUUCGUGAUGAGCUUAGAGGUCGGUGUAGUGCCAGAAGACGGCGACCAGUGGCGGGCGCUCGCGCACUGCUUCUGGGAUGACACAGCCAAGACCAACAAGGAUGACGAUCAUGUUCCUAUUUCCAGUGGGUUCGUUCAAGUGCUGAUGAAGCCGUCAACCAUUGGGGGCACGGAAUUGUCGAGCUCAAGGUUCGUCACCCUUGUUUCUAAAGGGAAGGUAAAGUUGGGGAUGCCAAUCUCUGAGGAUUUUCUCAAUGGUUAUCUUCAAGCCAUAGAAGCACCGUCGAGCCCUGGAGCUGUUGCGACAAUGCCGUCCCAGACACCGGCGUCCUCUUCCAUGCCCCGGCCAUCCAGGAGGAGUGCCACGACUAUCACAGUUCUCAACACGGCGUCCUCCGGGAUGUUGAUCAAGUCCUUGCACCGGCGGCAUCCGGAGCCUGAGAGGGACGCCCAGAGAGACAUGGCCUUCGAUUGGAGCAUUGCAGGCAUCGAUCCUCUUUGUGUCUGGGUACUCUUCCCCAUAGUGCUUGCUUUGAUUUUUGUUGUUCAGUUAAAUCAUUCACAUGAGUACCUCAAUUUAAUUAACAGUUUCAUUCAUUCUGCAUAUUCCCAAAAAUUUUACAGCUUCUCGGUGGUCCUUCCUGUAGGCCAAACUAUUGAUGUGGGAGGAGACCUUUAUGAAAGCUCAGUCAGGGGGUUCCACCUUGGGUUAGGAUUAGAAACCGCCGGUUGCACACCGGGCCCGUACGUACGUCCUUUGCACGCAAUCCGAAUCCUGAUCGGCCAUUGCGCGCGCACCCCCUCAUCGUCUACAUAUACAUCCACGGGCGCAGACCGGCUGUCAACUCAGCCACCGAACGACCGACCGAUGCAUCCACCGCUGCGUAGCAUGCCGCCGCUGGCAGCGGCGGCGACCGAGUGCCGGCUCAGCACCGGACGGUCGAUCGCACUCGGGCUGACGGGCAGAAAAAAGACCGACCCGAGCGCCACGGGCCAGCCCUGCUCCGUGCGCCUCCACGGCGACGUGGUCGUCAGCUACUGCCUGAGCGAGGUGGGCGGCCACCGGACCAGGCUGGUGCGCGAGGACCCGCCCCGGCGGUACGACAAGACGUUCUACCUCUACGACCACGACGCCUUCUUCCGGAGCCGCUCCUCAUGCCGCGACAUCAUACACCAGAUGCUCGCGCAGGCCCCGGUCGUCGGCGACCUCGACCUCGCCGCCGGCAACUGGGACGAAGACCACUUCCUGCCCCACGACGUGGCCACCAUGAUCCAUGCGCGUAGCUGGUUGCCCGACCUGCUCUAUAGCGAAGUUGACGUGUGCGUGGACGUCCUGGUGAGCGCCGUGUACAGCGAGCCCAGGGCGCUGCUGCUCGCGUGCAAGCAGGUCACGGCGGCGCACUGCCGGUUCACGGCGGGCCGAGGGGCCGAUGCGGCGGGUGCCUCGCAGUGCUGCGUGUGCAUGGAGGAUAUGUCGGCGCGUGAGGUCGACGGACCCGACGCCGUGAUGCUGCCGUGCUCGCACGCCUUACACGUCCGGUGCCUCCUGCCGUGGUUCGACCGGCGGUCGACGUGCCCGAUGUGCCGCCGCGACAUGAUAAUCUACCUCGUAGCCGUUGCCCAAACCCCAAAGGGGAGGUUUCCAGGCCUAGAGGCUUGA
rnacentral:rRNA from 1 species